rnacentral:hammerhead_ribozyme from 1 species
AUCCAACUGACGAAUCCCAAAUAGGACGAGAUACACUUUGUCCUGGAU